rnacentral:rRNA from 1 species
GACGAACGCUGGCGGCGUGCCUAAUACAUGCAAGUAGAACGCUGAAGAGAGGAGCUUGCUCUUCUUGGAUGAGUUGCGAACGGGUGAGUAACGCGUAGGUAACCUGCCUUGUAGCGGGGGAUAACUAUUGGAAACGAUAGCUAAUACCGCAUAACAAUGGAUGACACAUGUCAUUUAUUUGAAAGGGGCAAUUGCUCCACUACAAGAUGGACCUGCGUUGUAUUAGCUAGUAGGUGAGGUAACGGCUCACCUAGGCGACGAUACAUAGCCGACCUGAGAGGGUGAUCGGCCACACUGGGACUGAGACACGGCCCAGACUCCUACGGGAGGCAGCAGUAGGGAAUCUUCGGCAAUGGGGGCAACCCUGACCGAGCAACGCCGCGUGAGUGAAGAAGGUUUUCGGAUCGUAAAGCUCUGUUGUAAGUCAAGAACGAGUGUGAGAGUGGAAAGUUCACACUGUGACGGUAGCUUACCAGAAAGGGACGGCUAACUACGUGCCAGCAGCCGCGGUAAUACGUAGGUCCCGAGCGUUGUCCGGAUUUAUUGGGCGUAAAGCGAGCGCAGGCGGUUUGAUAAGUCUGAAGUUAAAGGCUGUGGCUCAACCAUAGUUCGCUUUGGAAACUGUCAAACUUGAGUGCAGAAGGGGAGAGUGGAAUUCCAUGUGUAGCGGUGAAAUGCGUAGAUAUAUGGAGGAACACCGGUGGCGAAAGCGGCUCUCUGGUCUGUAACUGACGCUGAGGCUCGAAAGCGUGGGGAGCGAACAGGAUUAAGAUACCCUGGUAGGUCCAAGGGCGAAUUCCCAGUGGAUAUCAAGCUUAUCGAUACCGUCGACCUCGAGGGGGGGCAAGGUACCCAGCUUUGUUCCCAUUAUGAGGGGUAAAUUAAGA